UUAACUUUACUAUGGUGCCUAACUGGUGGUUUUCAGCAAACAUUAACUAUUAGAGAAAGGAAAAUAUUGUGUCUUUAUAGUUUCUUUCUACCCUCACCCAUCACAGUCCUGUAUUCAUCCUGUUCUUGCUGUUUCAGAGGCGAUUGGGUGGUAUCCUUACAUGAUACUGCGUAGGCGUGUCUUAGAGGCAGGGGGUACUGAGAAAGCAGCGUCCUGAGGAAUCCAUGUUAUCCCUCAGCAAAUAGCAUCUUGGUGCUUUCAGUACCCACCUCUCACCCUCACCCUCACCCUCAUUUGAGUUGCCUGAGUCAUUGCUGUGGAGGGGAGAGCUUUCUUCCCUGCAUUAAAAACUUUGUUUGUGUUUCUGCAUCGAAUCCCUAAGGGGAAGACAAUCGUGGAUCUUGGAAUGUUUCUGUCUUUGUAUCUGGGAAGCAGACACUGCACACUAGGUUUUCUGGUAGUGUGUUGCACCGGGGCACACGCUGAGGACCUCCAGCUAGGUGUGCUGCACCAGUGUGUUGAGCUUUUGAAGGAAUUCCAGCAAGUUCACACAGGACUCUACAGAGGAAAGAAAAGGAGGGCUUUGGAUUCCUCAGUGGGGUGGGUAGGGAAUGGAGGGAAGGGUGGCCUGUGGUUGAAGACAAUCCUUUUGUCUUGGAGCAAACCACUUUUUUUUUUUCCUGAAGAAAGGCUGUCCAGCAGAGCCCGGGAGCUGUGAUCUCUGUGAGGUACAGCAAGAAUCCUCAGAAUUCACAUCCGUUUUGAGCCAGUUCUUUCCUCUCAAGCCUUUCUGCCCUAUAGGUCUCCUCACAAAAAUGCAUGAUAUCAUGACCUCGUGUUUUGGGUUGGGUAUAACAUAGCAAAGCAAGGGAAAUAUAGUUAUAUACUGAGUCUUAAGACAUUUGUUUAGUAAAAAAGAAAAAAAGGUAUCAAACAGAGAAUGGGGGCGGGGGCGGGGAAAUUGUGACUUUCAGAAUUGAUUUUUUUUUCCCAGAAAUUAAGUGGGGGUAUUUUUCAGUCUAGAAUAAAAGAAUGUGAAUUCUUUCUACCGCUCUUAUUUAAACUUAAAUAUACUGUUUACUUGAAAAGGCUCUCUUGACUAUUUGAUUUUCUAAGAAAACAGGGAAGUAUCAGGAAAGUGGUUUCUGAAAUGUUGAAGCAGGAUAACUGUCUUCAAAAGCAUAGCGGCCGCCACAAGACAGGAGUGCGUUGUACAGUUCAAGGACGGACUUUUCAGGGCUUGGGGUUUGUGGGAUAUUUUUUGUUUUGUUUUGUUUUUGCCACAAGAUCUUCAGUGUGUUUGUUUCAGGGUGGAAGUGGGUGUUAUAUGAAGCUGUCAGAUAUUUUAAGGAAAUCUUCCUACAACAGUAAAUGAAGACAUCUGUAUAUAUGUGAUAUAGUGAAACAAAAGACAUUUCUGGUAUUCAUAAAGAUAAAACAAGGAUUUUAUUCUUCCUGUGUCUGUGAUUUAAACUCGGUACCAUACUCUGGCUUUUGUAUUUCACCCUAAGUUUAAAAAUAAAUAAACAAGAUAUUUUUUAAAGAAUGCACAACAUAGUGUGUCUUAGCAAGGACAUGAGUCAUAUGAAGCAGAGUGAGUAGUUGUCACUAAGGUCCUUGAUGCUCACUGUAAAAACACAAAGAGUUCCAUGAAUACUCUAGUACCACACAGAAGUACCACAGUGGUGCUGUGUCACAUAGGACCCUGAAGGAUUUUCUGAGAGUUGAUUCAGCUUAGAUGGGAGCUCCCUCCCUGCAACUCUCUGCCUUCCUGGUGUCAUCAGAACUUGGUUUGACUCCUAGGAAGGUAUCAUGAGCAGACUAGGACCUUUCUCCUCUCUGAACCCAGAAACCUUGUUUAUGAGAAGUGUGGUACAGCAAGCUGGUCUCCACCAUGUGAGUAGGUGCAGGUUUCUUACUGCACAGUAUCCACUCAGUCCUAAUAUUACCUGCUGAUGGAGUUAGGCCUCAGCUGUUAGUUUUUGAAGCGGCUGUAAAUUACUGCUCCUCCCCCACCACCUUCAUAUUUUUAACUGGUGGGGUUACCUGUUAAAAUUAAAAAAAAAAAAUAGAUAUGUUGGAUUGAUAUUCUCUCACGUGUUGGAUUGAUAUUCUCUCACGUGUUCAGUGUGGAAAACAAGUACAUGCUUUAGAGGCAACAACAGUGAAAUCCUUUUGGAAUGUGUAUUAAUAUCAUUUAAUAAAAUAACUAGUUCUAAAGGUUUGACAUUUUUCUUUGAGAUUGGGGCUUUGACCAAGGGCCCUUGGCUUUUCUGGUAAGUGCAAACAAAAGUGACUUCUCCUCCCAGGAGCCGAAGCUGCAACGCUGCAGUACAGACCUAUGGUUAGAGAUGCUAAAUUCUCUCCGUUGCAGAUGCAGCAUGGCUACCCAGGGCCAAAGGUGAAACAGGCUACAGAAUGGAGAACGAGAAUCUGGGGACAGCCCUGAAGAUGCCACUAGACUGCCUUUCCACCUGAGGGUAUGUGGGAAGGACAAAUGGUGGUACGUGUGGGCACGCACACCUGAGGCACAUGUGCCGCAGACCCCCACCCUCACCCCCACCCCGUAUGUUUUCUUCAUUGCUGCUUGCACUUACCUCUCCCAUCGUCUUGGAGAAAAAAAAAAAAACAAACUGCCUCCAAUACUUUGUUUUCCAGCUUAAUAAAAUAUGUUUUUGUUUGUUGCGUGG
rnacentral:lncRNA from 1 species